rnacentral:rRNA from 1 species
AUUGAACGCUGGCGGCAGGCCUAACACAUGCAAGUCGAACGAGUGGCGGACGGGUGGGUAAUGUCUGGGAAACUGCCUGAUGGAGGGGGAUAACUACUGGAAACGGUAGCUAAUACCGCAUACCAUCGGAUGUGCCCCGAUGGGAUUAGCUAGUAGGUGGGGUAACGGCUCACCUAGGCGACGAUCCCUAGCUGGUCUGGGAGGAUGACCAGCCACACUGGAACUGAGACACGGUCUAGACUCCUACGGGAGGCAGCAGUGGGGAAUAUGGCACAAUGGGCGCAAGGCUGAUGCAGCCAUGCCGCGUGUAUGAAGAAGGCCUUCGGGUUGUAAAGUACUUGCAGCGGGGAGGCGGUACCCGCAGAAGAAGCACCGGCUAACUCCGUGCCAGCAGCCGCGGUAAUUC